GCUCCCGUAGCCCAACUGGCAGAGGCAGAUGGCUUAAACCCGUCGCAGUGUGGGUUCGACCCCCACCGGGAGCACCG
rnacentral:tRNA from 1 species